rnacentral:rRNA from 1 species
UACGUAGGCAGCAAGCGUUGUUCGGAAUUACUGGGCGUAAAGAGUGUGUAGGCGGUGCUCCAAGUCUGGUGUGAAAUCUCCCGGCUUAACUGGGAGGGUGCAUUAGAAACUGGAAUGCUAGAGGAUGGGAGAGGUAAGCGGAAUUCCUGGUGUAGCGGUGAAAUGCGUAGAUAUCAGGGGGAACACCUGUGGUGUAGACAGCUUACUGGACCAUUUCUGACGCUGAGACACGAAAGCGUGGGUAGCAAACAGG